AGAGUUUGAUCAUGGCUCAGAAUCAACGCUGGCGGCGUGCCUAACACAUGCAAGUCGAACGAGAAAGGGUAGCAAUACCUGAGUAAAGUGGCGCACGGGUGAGUAACACGUGACUAACCUACCCUGGAGUGGGGGAUAACUGGGAGAAAUCCUAGCUAAUACCGCAUAACACCUACGGGUCAAAGGAGCAAUUCGCUUCAGGAGGGGGUCGCGGUCGAUUAGUUAGUUGGCGGGGUAAUGGCCCACCAAGACUGUGAUCGAUAUCCGGCCUGAGAGGGCGCACGGACACACUGGAACUGAAACACGGUCCAGACUCCUACGGGAGGCAGCAGUGGGGAAUUUUGCGCAAUGGGGGAAACCCUGACGCAGCAACGCCGCGUGGAGGAUGAAGUCCUUCGGGACGUAAACUCCUUUCGAUCGGGACGAUUAUGACGGUACCGGAAGAAGAAGCCCCGGCUAACUUCGUGCCAGCAGCCGCGGUAAUACGAGGGGGGCGAGCGUUGUUCGGAAUUAUUGGGCGUAAAGGGUGCGUAGGCGGUUUGGUAAGUCUUGUGUGAAAUCUACAGGCUCAACUUGUAGUCUGCACGAGAAACUGCCGGGCUUGAGUAUGGGAGAGGUGAGUGGAAUUCCUGGUGUAGCGGUGAAAUGCGUAGAUAUCAGGAGGAACACCUGUGGCGAAAGCGGCUCACUGGACCAUAACUGACGCUGAUGCACGAAAGCUAGGGGAGCAAACAGGAUUAGAUACCCUUGUAGUCC
rnacentral:rRNA from 1 species